GCAGAUGAGCCCGCGGCCUAUCAGCUUGUUUUUGAGGUAACGGCUCACCAAGGCGACGACGGUAGCCGGCCUGAGAGGGCGACCGGCCACACUGGGACUGAGACACGGCCCAGACUCCUACGGGAGGCAGCAGUGGGGAAUAUUGCACAAUGGGCGCAAGCCUGAUGCAGCGACCCCGCGUGAGGGAUGACGGCCUUCGGGUUGUAAACCUCUUUCUGCAGGGAAGAAGCGAAAGUGACGGUUCCUGCAGAAGAAGCGCCGGCUAACUACGUGCCAGCAGCCGCGGUAAUACGUAGGGCGCAAGCGUUGUCCGGAAUUAUUGGGCGUUAAGAGCUCGUAGGCGGCUUGUCCCGUCGGUUGUGAAAGCCCGGGGCUUAACCCCGGGUCUGCAGUCGAUACGGGCAGGCUAGAGUUCGGUAGGGGAGAUCGGAAUUCCUGGUGUAGCGGUGAAAUGCGCAGAUCUCAGGAGGAACCCGGUGGCG
rnacentral:rRNA from 1 species